UGGGGAAUAUUGGGCAAUGGGCGAAAGCCUGACCCAGCGACGCCGCGUGAGGGAAGACGGUCUUCGGAUUGUAAACCUUAAACAACAGGGACGAAGAAGUGACGGUACCUGUUAGGAAGCCACGGCUAACUACGUGCCAGCAGCCGCGGUAAUACGUAGGUGGCAAGCGUUAUCCGGAUUUACUGGGUGUAAAGGGUGUGUAGGCGGAGAGGCAAGUCAGACGUGAAAACUACGGGCUCAACCCGUAACUUGCGUUUGAAACUGUUUCCCUUGAGUGUCGGAGAGGUAAAUGGAAUUCCCAGUGUAGCGGUGAAAUGCGUAGAUAUUGGGAGGAACACCGGUGGCGAAGGCGGUUUACUGGACGACAACUGACGCUGAGACACGAAAGUGUGGGGAGCAAACAGG
rnacentral:rRNA from 2 species